rnacentral:rRNA from 1 species
GAUGAACGCUGGCGGCGUGCCUAAUACAUGCAAGUCGAGCGAACGGACGAGAAGCUUGCUUCUCUGAUGUUAGCGGCGGACGGGUGAGUAACACGUGGAUAACCUACCUAUAAGACUGGGAUAACUUCGGGAAACCGGAGCUAAUACCGGAUAAUAUUUUGAACCGCAUGGUUCAAAAGUGAAAGACGGUCUUGCUGUCACUUAUAGAUGGAUCCGCGCUGCAUUAGCUAGUUGGUAAGGUAACGGCUUACCAAGGCAACGAUGCAUAGCCGACCUGAGAGGGUGAUCGGCCACACUGGAACUGAGACACGGUCCAGACUCCUACGGGAGGCAGCAGUAGGGAAUCUUCCGCAACGGGCGAAAGCCUGACGGAGCAACGCCGCGUGAGUGAUGAAGGUCUUCGGAUCGUAAAACUCUGUUAUUAGGGAAGAACAUAUGUGUAAGUAACUGUGCACAUCUUGACGGUACCUAAUCAGAAAGCCACGGCUAACUACGUGCCAGCAGCCGCGGUAAUACGUAGGUGGCAAGCGUUAUCCGGAAUUAUUGGGCGUAAAGCGCGCGUAGGCGGUUUUUUAAGUCUGAUGUGAAAGCCCACGGCUCAACCGUGGAGGGUCAUUGGAAACUGGAAAACUUGAGUGCAGAAGAGGAAAGUGGAAUUCCAUGUGUAGCGGUGAAAUGCGCAGAGAUAUGGAGGAACACCAGUGGCGAAGGCGACUUUCUGGUCUGUAACUGACGCUGAUGUGCGAAAGCGUGGGGAUCAAACAGG